UACGGAGGGUGCAAGCGUUAUCCGGAUUCACUGGGUUUAAAGGGUGCGUAGGCGGGUAGGGAAGUCAGUGGUGAAAUCCCCGAGCUCAACUUGGGAACUGCCGUUGAUACUAUCUAUCUUGAAUGUUGUGGAGGUGAGCGGAAUAUGUCAUGUAGCGGUGAAAUGCUUAGAUAUGACAUAGAACACCAAUUGCGAAGGCAGCUCGCUACACAAUUAUUGACGCUGAGGCACGAAAGCGUGGGGAUCAAACAGG
rnacentral:rRNA from 1 species